GUGGGGAAUAUUCCGCAAUGGACGAAAGUCUGACGGAGCAACGCCGCGUGAGUGAUGAAGGUUUUCGGACUGUAAAGCUCUGUUGUUUAGGACGAAAGUGCCUGUUGCAAAUAGUUACAGGUAUUGACGGUACUGAACGAGGAAGCCACGGCUAACUACGUUCCAGCAGCCGCGGUAAUACGUAGGUGGCAAGCGUUGUCCGGAAUUAUUGGGCGUAAAGAGCAUGUAGGCGGGAAUCUAAGUCUGUUGUGAAAAUGCGGGGCUCAACCCCGUAUUGCGAUGGAAACUGGGUUUCUUGAGUGCAGGAGAGGAAAGGGGAAUUCCCAGUGUAGCGGUGAAAUGCGUAGAUAUUGGGAGGAACACCAGUGGCGAGGGCGCCUUUCUGGACUGUGUCUGACGCUGAGAUGCGAAAGCCAGGGUAGCGAACGGGAUUAGAUACCCGAGUAGUCC
rnacentral:rRNA from 1 species